rnacentral:rRNA from 1 species
UAUUAGAAAGAAUACCAAUUGCGAAGGCAGCUUUCUGGAUCAUUACUGACGCUGAGGAACGAAAGCAUGGGUAGCGAAGAGGAUUAGAUACCCUCGUAGUCCAUGCCGUAAACGAUGUGUGUUAGACGUUGGAAAUUUAUUUUCAGUGUCGCAGCGAAAGCGAUAAACACACCGCCUGGGGAGUACGACCGCAAGGUUAAAACUCAAAUGAAUUGACGGGGACCCGCACAAGUAGUGGAGCAUGUGGUUUAAUUCGAAGAUACGCGCAGAACCUUACCAACACUUGACAUGUUCGUCGCGACUUUAAGAGAUUAAAGUUUUCGGUUCGGCCGGACGAAACACAGGUGCUGCAUGGCUGUCGUCAGCUCGUGUCGUGAGAUGUUGGGUUAAGUCCCGCAACGAGCGCAACCCUCACUUUUAGUUGCCAUCAUUAAGUUGGGCACUCUGAAAGAACUGCCAGUGAUAAGCUGGAGGAAGGUGGGGAUGACGUCAAGUCCUCAUGGCCCUUACGUGUUGGGCUACACACGUGCUACAAUGGUAUCUACAACAGGAAGCAAGACUGCGAAGUUAAGCAAAUCCUUAAAAGAUACCUCAGUUCGGAUUGCACUCUGCAACUCGAGUGCAUGAAGCUGGAAUUACUAGUAAUCGUGGAUCAGCGUGCCACGGUGAAUGCGUUCCCGGGCCUUGUACACACCGCCCA